rnacentral:snoRNA from 1 species
ACGACCUUACUUGAACAGGAUCUGUUCUAUAGUGUCGUACCUCUGUAUCCUUUAGCACAAAGGAGACAGGUUCACAAGUCUGGUUGACGAAUCAUGGCCUUGUGAUCAGAGCGUGAUUAACAGCUUCCUGGUCCUGUUCCGGACCAGACAGCAGUAGAGGAUCGUUCUCAGCCAGUGGUUCCUUCUGGCUGGGGUGGUCACAAGGUUGUCCGACAGACC